CAUGGAACGGAAUGUUUUUUUUUCAAAGCCGCCAUAACGCCAUUAUUUCAAUUCUUCACUUUCUUGUGAUGUUCGAUGCUUUGCUUUGCUAGAAAGAACUUUAAAAUUAUGAUGUUGAACUAUACAACGACUGUGCUUGCCCUGGACUCCGAUAAAUCUGCUUUUUUGUGAAUAUACCGGCUCUGCUCAACGGAUUUUGAUUUGCUCGUUAGAUUCGUUUGUCGUAACAAUGGUUAUAAGUGCUGUGUGUUGUGUACUUAAUUGCGGUAAAACGCGAUUAGAUAAUAUGAUUCUUCACCAAUGACCCAAUCCAAUUAUUGAGCCUGACUGGUUUCUUCUUCUAAUGGCAGUGAUGUGUUAGCAAUGGAAAACUGUGUCAUACUCACUUUAAGAAAAAAUAUAAUACUUCAAGCGGAAGGCUCCGUUUUACCCAUUUCUCUAUUGAGGUCUUGGGGUAUGGAAUUGAUAAGCAAACCACAUUGCUGCAAUUUCCAAUCAAUGUUCAAGAACCAAUGCAAGAUGAUCAAGUACCCAGAGCCCCUUUGAGGAACAUCACCAAUCAGUUCAGUACCCACAGGGCGGCUACUAAUCUCAGAUCUCAGCCGUCAGCUUCAGGAAUUGAUAAGCAAGCAAACCGCAUCGCUGCAAUUUGCUAGCAAUAUUCAAGAACCGAUGCAAGAUGAUCAAAUACCCAGAGCCCCUUUGAGGAACAUCACUGAUGUCAGUUCUCAGCCGUCAACUUCAGGUCACGCGCCACGACACACACCCCGAUUUUUCACGGAAGCUAGCAGUUUGGCCAAACAAAUAAAAAACCUUACUGAGACAAAAGAAAAAUAUUCUUUCGUUUAUUGCUCGUGUUGGUGUGGUGAAAAUUGUCGGUAGGAAACACUGCGCUUGAAAUAAUUAAGACGCAUUAGGAGAAGUAAUUCUCUAAACGCUUUCGACUAGUUCUUUCCUGGUUUUUGAAGCUAAGUAGUAUCACCACCAAUUACGUAACUAUAAAACAUAUUUUAAAAUAAAUUAUUAAAAACUAUUCCCCUG